AAUCGGGGGGCAAUAAAUUACAGUACUAGGUGAGAGAAUUAUUAUUUUUGCAUAUUGUUCAUAAGUUUUUUUAUUGUGCAUCUUGUAGUAUUUCGCUAACUACUCAUUUUGUUGUGUGGUGACUCUAUGAUUAAUUCAAUCAAGGGCAUUAGAUGGCACCUACUAAGUGAGAAAAAGGCAAGGAUUUUUUUAUGGUUUAUAUUGUCCGUUACCUAAAAAAUUUGUACCUCUCUGUAAAUAGUUAUAUUUUUAUGAAUAAAUUAUGGAAUAAUCAACAUUAUAUUUUUAUAAAUACCAUUCGAUUAAGUGCAAAAUGAUACAAGGGCACACAUGCCACGACAAACAUGAUAAACAUAGUAUUAAUUGCAGCACAUUCCACUGAAAAAGGCAAGUUUUCUUAAAGGCAUAAAAAAGUCAAGUUACAACGUAUACUCCAUCCGCCAAAAAAAAAAACUCAAUCUAGAAGCAUCCCCUCCUAAUAUAAUGAAUCUAGGCAAUCUAGAUUUGUUGUAUGUGACCCUCUUAGAUUGAGUUUUUUGGGACUAGGAGAGUCAGACUCUCUCCGUCAAAAAAUAUAAGAGAUUUUAGGUGAAUAUGACACAUCAUAGUAAUAUGAUAUAUCACAUUUAUCUGAAAUCCCUUAUAUUUUAAAAUGAAAGAAAUAUUAGCAACUAAUAUUAACUAGUAAACAAAAUAUAGUUAUCAAUUAAAUUGUGCCUAUAAGUAGACAUUUUCACCUAAAAUGUUAAAGAAAUAUUUUGCUUUUCUAAUGAAAGAUGCAUUUCUCAUGCUAUAUGCUUUAGAACAAUUUUACUCUGCUUUAUCUCUUAGUGUCUGUUUUUACAAUUUGUCGGCACUCUCACCAUAGUGGAGUUAGUUAGUCUCUCCUUUAUAUCUCUUUACUUUCACAAUAGUUUCUCUUUUUUUAUGGUCCAAUGGGGCGCCAAGGCGGCCAUCAAAAAAAUCACUGGUUAGAGUGAAAGCAAAUUAAAGCAGAUAAACAUUUUUUGCUUUCCUAAAAUAAUUCAGAUCGCCAUACAUUACACGUGGAUGGUGUCGACGUUUUGAUUUCUGCCUUAUCCAGGACCCACCUGUCUGGUAUAUGUGGCACUGUCUUGUUUGAUCUACGUGUAUCUGUUGCCAUGUGUGGGCUCCUGCAGCCGAAAGCCUCCAAAAGCAUAAUCACUUGAGAGUAGGGAUGAACAUGGCCAUCAUCUUCUCCUCUUUUGGAUGAAAGAAUACAAACUUGCAUGUGGCUAGCAUAUCCCUUUGGCAUUAAAUGAUAAAUAUCAGAAAAUAAACAUAACUUUUCUUCUAGAAAUGACUAUUAUCUCUGAUAUUUUGCAAUAAAGUUGUGUAAAUUACGGAGUAAAAGGGCCUGUUCACUUUGAUGAAAAAAAACUUACCAAUGCUAAAAUUUUGGCAUAGUUGUCAAAAUUUUGGUAACUUGAUAAAAUUUUGGCAGGAUUUCUUAUAUAGUUAUCAAAAUUUGACAGCAAACUAAAUGUAGCCAUUUUUUUAGUAACUUUAUUAAAACUCGGUAAAGUUGAAAAUAGCAUGAAGAGGCCCAAAAUCUAUGUAGUUUGAUGUGGUGUGUUUGUAUAAGCAACAUACAAGUUAAUGGUGCAGUGGACAUCAUGGGAGGGACUUCUCUUGUCUUGUACUGACUAUUGAUUCCAAAAGGAUACACAUCAGCAAAGAGUAAGUGAAGAGCUAGAAGGAUUUGUACAAUAGCUGGAUAUUGAUACUGUAUUUGGACAACUAUCAAAAUUAUAUUUUAGCUGAAUUGGCAACUUACUCACCAGCAAGAUGAAGGCUUGUUGGUCAGCCAUAGGUUGAGCACUAGUGGACCCCAUGGCAUGCAUGGGAGCUUGUAUUAGCACUGGCGACAAAAUAAGCGCCUACAUUUCUCUC